ACAUGCCUAUAGCAUAACGUUAAUGCACGGGAUCCCAUUAGAACUCCACAGUUAAGCGCGCUCAGGCUAGAGUAGUACUAGGAUGGGUGACCACCAGAGAAUUCCUAGUAUUUUACAUGCC
rnacentral:rRNA from 1 species